rnacentral:rRNA from 1 species
GAUGAACGCUGGCGGCGUGCCUAAUACAUGCAAGUCGAGCGAACGGACGAGAAGCUUGCUUCUCUGAUGUUAGCGGCGGACGGGUGAGUAACACGUGGAUAACCUACCUAUAAGACUGGGAUAACUUCGGGAAACCGGAGCUAAUACCGGAUAAUAUUUUGAACCGCAUGGUUCAAAAGUGAAAGACGGUCUUGCUGUCACUUAUAGAUGGAUCCGCGCUGCAUUAGCUAGUUGGUAAGGUAACGGCUUACCAAGGCAACGUUGCAUAGCCGACCUGAGAGGGGGAUCGGCCACACUGGAACUGAGACACGGUCCAGACUCCUACGGGAGGCAGCAGUAGGGAAUCUUCCGCAAUGGGCGAAAGCCUGACGGAGCAACGCCGCGUGAGUGAUGAAGGUCUUCGGAUCGUAAAACUCUGUUAUUAGGGAAGAACAUAUGUGGAAGUAACUGUGCACAUCUUGACGGUACCUAAUCAGAAAGCCACGGCUAACUACGUG